GUCUGAAGUACAGUGAUGUUUUUCUUUUCCAAGGACAUAUCUGGUUGCUCUGUGUGGAAAAUGACUGUUGCUGAAUGUUUUGGGU